rnacentral:lncRNA from 1 species
UUUUUAUAGGCCAAAAUUCGGAACUAUUGAUUUGAUGACUAAUUGUUGAGUGGGUGGCCACCUCUUGACUUGGUAACUAUCCUUAUCUUCUUGUCUGCAGAAAACGUCAUUGCUCACAUCAGCAUUUGAGUAGAUAGUCUUCAUGAAAGUUUUGGGAAAUUGUCUCAGUUUUCCAACAAAAUAAGAAUCGGUGCAUUUGGACUUCUAGAACUCGAGAUAUGGGUUGAACACUGAAUAGUGUCUGGGAUGUAGGACAGAUUCUGACUUCUCUAUUGUUGCUAUAAUUUGAACUUGAAAACGGUCCUUUUGAAUCUUGGACUCUUCAUGAAAGUUUUAGGCCUAUGUAUUAGCUUUCCAUACAUAUAAAUCAAACCUAAAUCCAAGUUCUACAGCUGCAGUUAUGAUCCAAUAACCGAAUGGUGUUCCAGUUUGGACUGAACCAACAUGUCUUUUCUAAGCUUAGCCCUUUCUUUGUCU